rnacentral:rRNA from 1 species
AACGAACGCUGGCGGCAUGCCUAACACAUGCAAGUCGAACGAGACCUUCGGGUCUAGUGGCGCACGGGUGCGUAACGCGUGGGAACCUGCCCUUAGGUUCGGAAUAACUCCCCGAAUGGGGUGCUAAUACCGGAUAAUGUCUUCCGACCAAAGGUUUAUCGCCUUUGGAUGGGCCCGCGUUGGAUUGGCUAGUUGGUAGGGUAAAAGCCUACCAAGGCGACGAUCCAUAGCUGGUUUGAGAGGAUGAUCAGCCACACUGGGACGGAGACACGGCCCAGACUCCUACGGGAGGCAGCAGUGGGGAAUAUUGGACAAUGGGCGAAAGCCUGAUCCAGCAAUGACGGGUGAGUGAUGAAGGCCGUAGGGUUGUAAAGCUCUUUUACCCGGGAUGAUAAUGACGGUACCGGGAGAAUAAGCUCCGGCUAACUCCGUG